CACGUAGGGGGCAAGCGUUGUCCGGAUUUAUUGGGCGUAAAGAGCUCGUAGGCGGUUCGGUAAGUCGGGUGUGAAAGUCACAGGCUCAACCUGUGAAUGCCGCUGGAAACUGUCUGGCUAGAGUCCGGAAGGGGCGAGUGGAAUUCCUGGUGUAGCGGUGAAAUGCGCAGAUAUCAGGAGGAACACCUAUGGCGAAGGCAGCUCGCUGGGACGGUACUGACGCUGAGGCGCGAAAGCGUGGGGAGCGAACAGG
rnacentral:rRNA from 1 species